AAAAUAUGGGGGGAGAGACCCCAAAAUAUGGGAUGAAGUGGGGUAGGAGACCCCAAAAUAUGGGGUGGGGGGGGGGGGGGACUCAAAUAUGGGUGGGAAAUCCCACUAAUUAGUGGCGUAUUGGGUCAUUAGGAUGGGAAAUCCCACUAAUUAGUGGUGUAUUGGGUCAUUAGGAGUGGGAAAUCCCACUAAUUAGUGGUGUAUUGGGUCAUUAGAGUGGGAAAUCCCACUAAUUAGUGGCGUAUUGGGUCAUUAGGAGUGGGAAAUCCCACUAAUUAGUGGUGUAUUGGGUCAUUAGGAUGGGAAAGCUCGCUAAUUAGUGGCGUAUCGGGUCAUUAGGAGUGGGAAAGCUCGCUAAUUAGUGGCGUAUUGGGCCAAUAGGAUGGGAAAGCUCGCUAAUUAGCGGCACAAUGGGC